AGAAAUUUGGAUUAAUACCCUAUAUUAUCUUCUUUUCGCAUGAAAUAGAGAUGAAAGUUUCGACGGUAAGAGAUGGGCAUGCGUCCUAUUAGUUUGUUGGUAAGGUAACGGCUUACCAAGACUUCGAUAGGUAGGGGCCCUGAGAGGGGGACCCCCCACACUGGUACUGAGACACGGACCAGACUCCUACGGGAGGCAGCAGUGAGGAAUAUUGGACAAUGGAGGAAACUCUGAUCCAGCCAUGCCGCGUGCAGGAUGAAUGCCCUAUGGGUUGUAAACUGCUUUUAUACAGGAAGAAACAUUUCCACGUGUGGAAACUUGAC
rnacentral:rRNA from 1 species